rnacentral:rRNA from 1 species
ACGAACGCUGGCGGCGUGCCUAAUACAUGCAAGUAGAACGCUGAAGGAGGAGCUUGCUCUUCUGGAUGAGUUGCGAACGGGUGAGUAACGCGUAGGUAACCUGCCUGGUAGCGGGGGAUAACUAUUGGAAACGAUAGCUAAUACCGCAUAAGAGUAGAUGUUGCAUGACAUUUACUUAAAAGGUGCAAUUGCAUCACUACCAGAUGGACCUGCGUUGUAUUAGCUAGUUGGUGGGGUAACGGCUUACCAAGGCGACGAUACAUAGCCGACCUGAGAGGGUGAUCGGCCACACUGGGACUGAGACACGGCCCAGACUCCUACGGGAGGCAGCAGUAGGGAAUCUUCGGCAAUGGACGGAAGUCUGACCGAGCAACGCCGCGUGAGUGCAGAAGGUUUUCGGAUCGUAAAGCUCUGUUGUAAGAGAAGAACGAGUGUGAGAGUGGAAAGUUCACACUGUGACGGUAUCUUACCAGAAAGGGACGGCUAACUACGUG